rnacentral:rRNA from 1 species
CGGAUUCGCCCUUCCUGACGUAAAGCUCUGUCAGAUGGGAGACGAAAGCACUWUUUSWGMCGAUGAUAAGGACRGUACYMUCAGARKAAGYMYCGGCUAACUMCGUGCCAGCAGCCGCGGUAAYACGKAGGRKGCASRBGUURUYCGGAWUUACUGGGCGUAAAGCGCGUGCAGGUGGUUUKGUARGUYRGAUGUGAAAKCYCYYGGCUCAACYRRGUGARGUCRUYYRAAACYGCUAKACUWGAGKAYGRYAGAGGAARGUGGAAUUCCAGGUGUAGUGGUGAAAUGCRUAGAUAUCUGGAGGAACACCAGUGGCGAAAGCGGCCUUCUGGCCCGUGCCUGACACUAAGACGCGAAAGCUAGGGUAGCAAACAGGAUUAGAGACCCUGGUAGUCCUAGCCGUAAACGAUGUCAACUAGGCGUUGGUGGGUUAAUAGCCAUCAGUGCCGAGCUAACGCGAUAAGUUGACCGCCUGGGGACUACGAUCGCAAGAUUAAAACUCAAAGGAAUUGACGGGGCCCCGCACAAGCAGCGGAGCGUGUGGUUUAAUUCGAUGCUACACGAAGAACCUUACCUGGGCUUGACAUGUCGAUGAACGAUUGCGAAAGCAUGAGGCUCCCUUCGGGGACAUCGUCACAGGUGUUGCAUGGCUGUCGUCAGCUCGUGUCGUAGAUGUCCGGUUAAGUCCGGUAACGAGCGCAACCCUSGCCGUAUGUUAUAUGUGUCAUGCGGGACCGCCGGUUUCAAGCCGGAGGAAGGUGGGGAUGACGUCAAGUCAGCAUGGCCUUUAUGUCCAGGGCUACACACACGCUACAAUGGCCGGUACAAUGGGUUGCCAAACCGCAAGGUGGAGCCAAUCCCCCAAAGCCGGCCUCAGUUCAGAUUGCAGGCUGCAACUCGCCUGCAUGAAGUCGGAGUUGCUAGUAAUCGCGCGUCAGCUAUAGUGCGGUGAAUACGUUCUCGGGGCUUGUACACACCGCCCGUCACGUCAUGGAAGUUGGUAACACCUGAAGCCAGAGCUCAACCCUCACGGGAGAGCGCUGUCUAAGGGGGGUGGURAUGGAG